rnacentral:rRNA from 1 species
CAAGCGGUGGAGCAUGUGGUUUAAUUCGAUACUACGCGCAAAACCUUACCAGCCCUUGACAUAUGAACAACAAAACCUGUCCUUAACGGGAUGGUACUGACUUUCAUACAGGUGCUGCAUGGCUGUCGUCAGCUCGUGUCGUGAGAUGUUUGGUCAAGUCCUAUAACGAGCGAAACCCUCGUUUUGUGUUGCUGAGACAUGCGCCUAAGGAGAAAUUGCCACCGAAGUGAGCCGAGGAGCCGAGUGACGUGCCAGCGCUACUACUUGAUUGAGUGCCAGCACGUAGCUGUGCUUUCAGCAAGAAUUUCACCAUUGGGAGCCGGUGCCUUUCGAAGCACUUUCACGUGUGAACCGAAGUCGUCUUGCCGAACUCAAGACCCACGGAGACCUACCUAUAGUGACGUCAAAGUACCAGUGAGCAUGGAGGUUUGGUUAGGCUUGGUUACGACGACGUCGAGUUGGCGGCGGAGGAAGACUCGGCAUGAAGGCCAGCCGCCCGGUGGUGUGGUACGUAGUGGUAAUAGUACGCGCCCCGCUCCGAAACAAAGAAAAAGGUGCGUGCCGCACUCACGAGGGACUGCCAGUGAGAUACUGGAGGAAGGUGGGGAUGACGUCAAGUCCGCAUGGCCCUUAUGGGCUGGGCCACACACGUGCUACAAUGGCAAUGACAAUGGGAAGCAAGGCUGUAAGGCGGAGCGAAUCCGGAAAGAUUGCCUCAGUUCGGAUUGUUCUCUGCAACUCGGGAACAUGAAGUUGAAAUCGCUAGUAAUCGCGGAUCAGCAUGCCGCGGUGAAUAUGUACCCGGGCCCUGUACACACCGCCCGUCACACCCUGGGAAUUGGUUUCGCCCGAAGCAUCGGACCAAUGAUCACCCAUGACUUCUGUGUACCACUAGUGCCACAAAGGCCUUUGGUGAUCUUAUUGGCGCAUACCACGGUGGGGUCUUCGACUGGGGUGAAGUCGUAACAAGGUAGCCGUAGGGGAACCUGUGGCUG